CCGAGUUUACAACUCCCAAACCCCUGUGAACAUACCUAUACGUCGCCUCGGCGGAUCAGCCCGCGCCCCGUAAAAAGGGACGGCCCGCCCGAGGACCCCUAAACUCUGUUUUUAGUGGAACUUCUGAGUAAAACAAACAAAUAAAUCA
rnacentral:misc_RNA from 1 species